UAGCUCAGUUGGUAGAGCAUGGUGCUUGCAAUGCCAGGGUUGUGGGUUUGAUUCCCAC
rnacentral:tRNA from 1 species